GGAGGAGCAGGUAAAGGAUCAGGAUUAUCACUUGGAGUUUCUGUCAGGGGAUGGUUGACAGUCAAGAAUUCUUGUGAUGCCAUUGGAAUGUCAACUGGUUCAUCAGCUACUAUAUCGAACAGGCUGGACCGCCUUUUUCUCCUGGAAACAUUGCUUUGCCUGAUGAAAUAUUUUUGUGCAUGACUGGCCACCUGAGUAGGUGUCCU
rnacentral:misc_RNA from 1 species